CUCAAUAACGAAGUUACAGUAGUGAGACCGAACUCAAUUCCUUAAGACCGACUCCUGCCCGUGCGCACUAGUGGUGCACACACUAUUAAAUCAAGCAGUGAAGCGUAUGCUGAGUUUGUUGACUGGCUGUUGCUUGCACACCUUGACGACGAUGAUGACGAGGGAGAGCAAGAGGACUACAAUAACUGCUGCAACAACGUUAUCCUGCCAACAAAACGAACUUUCGGGAUCCUCGUACAUAAAUAUUUUCUACUCCUGUAGUUUUCUUUCUUGUGUGCAGCCGCAUGUAUGUACAAACGAUGCUGUAUGACGCAGGGCUGAAGGCAAGAGAAACGGGGAACUGUGCUCACCUUGAUUGUAGGCCGCAUCUUUUGCAGCAACAUAUGACCGGCCACCACGGCCAACGCUGCCAACUAUACCAUACCAUUCUCAGUGAAUUUGUAAGACGCUUAGCGUCUGUCUGCAGCGGAACAGUUUGCAUCUGUCGUUUUCGUUAACCCAAACGAUUUGCUACAUGCAUACAUAUAGGUAUAUACUUCUGUACAAUGCAUUGCCCUUCUCUAAACGGUGGCCACAUUAAUGCAGAAAAGCGUUUUUAUUAAAGUUCAUGCAUGCACGCAGUUCAAGAAGGAGCGCUAAGAAGAGCCUGCCAACAGUAAAACAGCAGAUGUUACACAAUUUUA